GCGCGCAAAUUACCCAAUCCUGACACGGGGAGGUAGUGACAAUAAAUAACAAUACCGGGCGCGUUAGUGUCUGGUAAUUGGAAUGAGUACAAUCUAAAUCCCUUGACGAGGAUCCAUUGGAGGGCAAGUCUGGUGCCAC
rnacentral:rRNA from 1 species